UUCUAGCCCAAAGGUCCAAAG
rnacentral:misc_RNA from 1 species